rnacentral:rRNA from 1 species
UACGUAGGCAGCGAGCGUUGUUCGGAAUUGCUGGGCGUAAAGAGUGUGUAGGCGGUGCUCCAAGUCUGGUGUGAAAUCUCCCGGCUCAACUGGGAGGGUGCGCCGGAAACUGGAAUGCUAGAGGGUGGGAGAGGUAAGCGGAAUUCCUGGUGUAGCGGUGAAAUGCGUAGAUAUCAGGAGGAACACCUGUGGUGUAGACAGCUUACUGGACCACUUCUGACGCUGAGACACGAAAGCGUGGGUAGCAAACAGG